UACGUAGGGUGCAAGCGUUAAUCGGAAUUACUGGGCGUAAAGCGUGCGCAGGCGGUUUUGUAAGUCUGACGUGAAAGCCCCGGGCUUAACCUGGGAAUGGCAUUUGGGACUGCAAGGCUUGAGUGCGGCAGAGGAGACUGGAAUUCCUGGUGUAGCAGUGAAAUGCGUAGAUAUCAGGAGGAAUACCGAUGGCGAAGGCAGGUCUCUGGGCUGACACUGACGCUCAGGCACGAAAGCGUGGGGAGCAAACAGG
rnacentral:rRNA from 1 species